CCGUCAUAAGCAGACACGUCUCUCACUUCUAGCGGUACCUCGAAUUAAAGCACAACAUGCCUCUGAGAUUAGAUGUGAAGCGUAAAUUAUCAGCACGGUCUGACCGUGUGAAGAGUGUUGAUUUGCAUCCUUCUGAACCCUGGAUGCUAGUGAGUUUAUACAAUGGUAAUGUCCAUGUAUGGAACCAUGAUUCUCAGACAUUGGUGAAAUCAUUUGAGGUAUGUGACUUGCCAGUAAGAGCAGCAAAGUUUUUACCAAGAAAGAAUUGGAUCAUCACUGGUUCUGAUGACAUGCAACUACGUGCCUAUAAUUACAACACAUUGGAGAGAGUACAUGCAUUUGAAGCCCACUCUGAUUACUUGCGUUGCAUUGCUGUACAUCCAACCCAACCAUACAUCUUAACAAGUAGUGAUGAUAUGUUGAUAAAAUUAUGGGAUUAUGAAAAGAAGUGGCAGUGUACACAGGUAUUUGAAGGACACACACAUUAUGUUAUGCAGAUUGUUAUCAAUCCCAAAGACAAUAAUACAUUUGCCAGUGCUUCCUUGGAUAGAACUGUUAAGAAUAAAACCUGUGUGCAAACUUUGGAAGGUCAUUCCCAGAAUGUUGCUUGUGUUGCGUUCCAUCCUGAACUGCCUAUACUGUUAACAGGAUCUGAAGAUGGUACUAUAAGAAUCUGGCAUGCAAACACGUACCGACUGGAGACUACGUUGAAUUAUGGCUUGGAGCGUGUGUGGAGUAUAGCGUGUUUAAGAGGCUCUAAUAAUGUGGCUUUGGGAUAUGAUGAAGGCAGCAUUAUGAUUAAGCUUGGCCGUGAAGAGCCAGCAAUGUCAAUGGACAGUAGUGGUAAAAUAAUCUGGGCAAAACAUGCUGAAAUCCAACAAGCAAAUCUGAAAAGUGUACAAGAUAUUGACAUCAAGGAUGCAGAGCGGUUACCUUUGGCCGUCAAGGACAUGGGAAGUUGCGAAAUCUAUCCACAAACCAUUGUGCAUAAUCCCAAUGGAAGGUAAUUAUUAUCCAAUAAAUUGUGGGGAAAUUUGAUGACGUGCAAAUAUGCCACUCGGGAUGGAAACACAACAGUGCACUUAUAUAGAAACUUUAAAGAAAGGAAAGCUUUCAAGCCAGCUUUUGGAGCAGAAGGUAUUUAUGGUGGUUAUUUACUGGGUGUACGUUCAUCAAGUGGAUUGGCAUUCUAUGAUUGGGAGCAAAAUGAACUCGUGAGAAGAAUUGAAAUCAGUCCAAAAUUGAUAUUCUGGUCUGACAACGGUGAACUAGUGUGUAUCACGACUGAUGAGUCAUUCUUUAUUUUAAAAUACAAUGCUGAGGCUGCUUCCAAAGCACAAGAAACAAAUGAAGGAAUCACAGAGGAUGGUGUUGAAGAUGCAUUUGAGGUUAUUGGUGAGAUUGAAGAAAUUGUGAAAACUGGUACCUGGGUGGGAGACUGUUUUAUCUACACAAACUCUGUAAACAGAAUUAAUUAUUAUGUUGGUGGUGAAAUAGUUACAAUAUCACAUAUGGACAGAGUGAUGUACAUAUUAGGUUAUAUCCCACGUGAUAACCGUCUAUAUCUCGGUGAUAAAGAACUCAAUGUUGUGAGUUACUCGUUGUUAUUAUCGGUGUUAGAAUACCAAACUGCUGUCAUGAGGAGAGAUUUUGAAACCGCUGAUAAAGUUUUACCCACAGUUCCACGAGAACAGAGGACAAGAGUUGCACACUUCUUAGAAAAACAGGGUUUCAAACCUCAAGCCUUAGCUGUAUCUACAGAUCCUGAACAUAGAUUUGAAUUAGCAUUACAACUUGGUGAACUCAAGAUUGCAUAUGAUAUAGCCAAAGAAUCAGAGAGUGAAGAGAAAUGGAAACAAUUGUCAGAGUUGGCGACGUCUAAAUGUGAAUUUAAACUAGCAGCUGAAUGUUUACAUAAUGCACAGGAUUAUGGUGGACUGUUGCUAUUAGCAACAUGUACUGGAGAUGAAACUAUGGUCGGAAAACUUGCAGAAGCUUCAAAAAAUGAAGAUAAAACCAACGUAGCUUUUCUUUCACAUUUCCUUCUUGGAGAGACUGAACAGUGUAUAGAAUUACUCUGUAAAACUGGAAGGCUUCCAGAGGCUGCAUUUCUGGCUAGGACGUAUAUGCCUAGUAAAAUCUCGGGAAUUGUUAAAUUAUGGCGAGAGAACCUUGCACAGACCAACAAGAAAGCAGCACAAUCGUUAGCUGAUCCCACAGAGUAUGAGAAUUUAUUUGUAGGUCUGAAAGAAGCUUUUAUAGCAGAAAAAUAUUUGAAGCAAACAGAAAGGCCAUUACCAGCAACAGCUUAUCCUAAUGUCCCUAAUACAUAUGAACGCAAUAUUAUAGAAGAAAUGGCACAGGCGAUAGAAAAUGGAGAAUUUGAUCUGAAUCUUGACAAAAAAGAGGAAUCAAUCCCAGCUGAAAAACCCCAAAUAGAUGACAAUGUGGUAACAGAAAGCAAAGAAUCAGCAGCUCGACAAAUUAAAGAAAACUUAGAUAAAGACAAUUUUGAUUUUGAUCUUGACCAGGAUAUUGAGAACAUGAAGUUAGAUGAGAAUAUUGACACAUCAGACAUCAAUCUGGAUGAAGAUCUUUUAGAGGAUUAAAUCUUCUAAACUUUUCUAGAAAAGACUUUUUAAAAGUUUUCUCUCUAAUCAUAGUAGCUUUUAUUGGUAGGUGAUGUGUAUUCUGGGUGUUAAGCUAUAUUUGUCUGUAUAUAGAGACCUCUAUAUUAUCAUGAGGAUUAAUUCAAGUAAUAUGUAAGGAGUAUCUGUUCAGCCAAUAUUCUAUUAUGUCAGCUUUUCACUUGUUACUUAAAAUAAUGUAUAUAUCUUAAUCAUACCCCAAUUCUGUCACUUGUUGUGGCACUUUUUAUCUUUCUUUUUUUUCUUCAUAUAAUAUUUGUUUCAAAAUCCAUAACCAUAAGUAGGAAAAGCUAGUUUGGUGCGAAAUAAAAGUGAAUCUUGGCAAACAUAAUUUUGAGAGUUGAAUUUUCUAUCGGAAUGUUUCACUGGUUUUUUAAUCAAAGCUUAACAGUGACUAUUGUGAAGGGGGAGUCCUUGCAAACACCCUCAGAUUGUCAGGUCUUGUAUAUUUUAUGUGGCUACAAUAUGGUUUAUUGUGUGUCUACAAAUUGUUGGUGAUGGUCGUGUUUAUACUAUUUAUUUGGAUGCUUGAACCAAAAUGAUAUCUCAGUACUAUGAGGUAGGAGAAAAUAUUAUAUGCUGAAAAUGACUGUUGUUUUUAACAGUGAAGUAUGACUAUUGACAAGUGUUCAUUCUAUCGCCUUACUGCAAUGGCAAAGACUUCUGAUACAAUUUGGUUCUAUUUUGUGUGUGAAUAGCAGUUUGCUGACAAAAAUCUUCUUUGAUUACUGUUUAAAAGUAGCAAAUAUUCACUAGGUUUCAGUUUUUCCAGUAAAAUUUACAACUUUAAAAUAAAAAUCAUAAUUAAAUUGAAACCUAGUGCUGACUGCACAAAGACAUAAUUGUGUAAAUCAAUUCUGUAAUAUUUUGGUUUCAUCGUGGUAUGGGUCCAUGUGAGGUAUACAAUGCAUUGUGUAGGCAACAACUGGGGUUUUAAACAAAGUGAAGAUUUAUCUGCUGAGUACACUGCCCUCUUCAGGUGAAGCAGUGAACGAGUGAAAUUUCAAAUCAAUAUUUCCCAUGCAUUUUACGCUGACUUGAGGGAUUUUUUUUAUUGUUGGUUUAUAUUGUUUAUUUUCUGAGUAUUUAUUGUGGUAAACAGAUUGUAUCCUAAUGGGUGCACAUCGUAUCUGAGAUAAACUAUAUUGGUUUUACAAGUAAAACACUAGUGACUACAAUACUCUGUACAUUUCAAAUAACAAUAAUUGUAAUUCAGUACAGAAUUGGGUUAUUAAAAGAAAAAGUAUGCUGCA